UACAGAGGGUGCAAGCGUUAAUCGGAAUUACUGGGCGUAAAGCGCGCGUAGGCGGCUGCUUAAGUCGGAUGUGAAAUCCCCGGGCUCAACCUGGGAACUGCAUUCGAUACUGAGCGGCUAGAAUAUGAGAGAGGGAGGUAGAAUUCCACGUGUAGCGGUGAAGUGCGUGGAUAUGUGGAGGAAUACCGGUGGCGAAGGCGGCCUCCUGGCUUAAUACUGACGCUGAGGUGCGAAAGCGUGGGGAGCAAACAGG
rnacentral:rRNA from 1 species